GAAUGCUGUCCAGGAGGCUCGCUUCCUAGGGCACUCAACUACAAGGUACAGAGCCAGCUUCUCCUGACCUGUCCCUGACUUCUGCUUCCAGGACCAGGGACCAUGACUGGAACAUCGAGGCUGACUGUGGUGAAGAGAGACAUUUGCACAGCCCUGCUGGCAGGUCAGGACAUAACCAACCCAUAGCUGCACUCCUACAAUGGCUUCCUACUCCACUGUGGUCCACAGACUGCUAUACUGCAGGGAAACCACACCACCAACUCUCUACAUCAGGUUCUUCAUUGUACAACUGGGCAGAUUUAUUAAUUUAUCAUAUGUAAGUACACUGUAGCUGUCUUCAGACACUACAGAAGAAGGAGUCAGAUCUCCUUACAGAUGGUUGUGAACUACCAUGUGGUUGCUGGGACUUGAACUCAGGACCUUCAGAAGAGCAGUCGGGAGCUCUUAACCGCUGAGCCAUCUCACCAGCCCACAGCUACCUUUGAAAUAACUCCCAGAAACACAGUAUGGUGUUGAGCAAGAUCCUGAGAGGAGACUGAAGGCCACCAUGACAGGAAGCUGCCCCGGCUCUACUUCAAGCUGGCGUGAUUCUGGUAGGUGCAGCCCUGUCGUGGACAUCUGCUAACACUGGUGAAGCCCCAGGUUUCUCUCCUCCCCAGCACUACAGAAAAGAAAACCAGGCACGAUGAAUACUCGUAGGUAUCGGCAAGGAGGAUCAGCAGAGCAAGGUUACACAUGGCUUUAGAGCAAGUUUGAGGCUAACCUGGACUACGGGAGCCUGUCUCAAAAAAAGGUAAGACAAUGCAUUGGUCCAGCCCUCCAUGCCUCUUCUGGCCUCCUGCCUGGUCUUUUCCUACCCAGUUCAGAAAUAAAGUCACAAAUGUCUUUGUUUCUUAACCUCAAAGGGUCGGAGCCUCCUGGGUGCUGCAGAGAGAAUGGAAAACUCACCUCUCUGCGGUUGGAAAUGUGAGUGGCUGCAUGGUCCACGUUUCCAUCGCAGGCCCGUAGGCCCAGCCGUGCUUCCUGGGCAGUGAAUCCCAACUGUAACAAGUUGUGAACUUUUGAUGGAUCGAUGUAAAGCUCCUUAAAGAGCUGCCGUGCCUACAAACAGGAAGAAGCAGAACGCUCACCUCACAGCAGCAACAAUAAGGCUUAGCAAAGCUAAAGCCCAGGAGUGAGGCUACCAAAUGUGAACUACUGUGUGUAAGAUUCAGACAUACUGAGCUUGUCUAACCUGCCCACCAUAAGGAAUGAAGCAAACACUAUCUCUGCCUGCAUAACAUACCCAUAACUUAGCAACAAUAGGCAGGCUGAAUGCUGCAGGCAUGCCAGAGUGACUCUUUCUUUCAUUCCCAGCUUAGCUGGCAGUGGUGGUGCCUCCAGCAAUCAGGAGGCAAAGGACAUCUGGGCUAUACAGCAAAACAGGCUGCAAAUAGCAUCUAUCUCUCUCCCUUGUAGGUGGGCUGGCUGGGUGGUUGCUAGGUAACUGCAGGUGGUCUCUCUUUAUUUUGUUUUAAGAUUUAUUGUUUAUAUAUGAAUACAUGGUCGCUGUCUUCAAACACACCAGAAGUGGGCAUUGGAUCCCACUAUAGCUGGUUGUUAGCCAGCAUGUAGUUACUGAAAAUUGAACUCAGGACCUUUGAAAAUGCAGUCAGAGCUCUUAAUUGUUGAGCCAUCUCUCCAGCCCUGGCAGUCUCUUUCUGAGGCACAGGUAGGUCUGUUCUGACUCUCUAGUCCUCUCUGCUUGUGCCACACAAACCAGCAGGAACAAUGGAAGCCAAGGCCUGCAGAGCUCUACCCUGGCCUACUCAUGCUAGAGGCAGGGCAGAAACUAUUUCAAGCCACUGCCAUUUUAAAGAGUCUUCAUUACAACCCCCUGCCAGAGCCUCACAGACACAAGUGUUCAUGCUGCAUGUGAGAGAGGGGACCGGACGGAGGUGCAGGGCUCUGACACAUCCGUGAGCGUGACUCAAAGAAUACUCCACUGCCAAGGCAGAGGCAGAGGUGGGGCAGAGGCAGCAGUCGUCCUCACCUUGUUGAGAUAUUCCCGAGCUUCCUCUCCAUUUCCACUGUGAUAGUUUUGGAUUCCCUGAAGCAAGUAGAGUCUUAAAAACAACACCUUCUCUUUCCCACAAUUUCCCUGAAGUUAUUGGGAGAAAAAGAAUAAGUGGUCUUAUUUCUAAUUAAAGAGUCACAUGGUCACUGCUGUAACUGAGCCAUGUCUCCACAGCAGUAAGAUGACAAGAUAGCCCAGGGCACCACAGCUGUCACUGGGACAACUUCUAAGCAGUAUCUCUUCCACAUGGUGGGAUCAGUCAAGACACUGAGGCUAGGCACCAGAGGCCAUGACUAAGUCACUGGCUCUUUCCUGGUCAGACUGAGAGUAGCGCUCUACAAUUAGUAAACUCUUUAAGAACCACCACACACCAGGCCUGGUGGCGCACGCCUGUAAUCCCAGCACUCGGGAGGCAGAGGCAGGCGGAUUUCUGUGUUUGUGGCCAGCCUGGUCUACAAAAUGAGUUCCAGGACAGCCAGGGCUACACAGAGAAACCCUGUCUCGAAAAACAAACAAAAACAACAACAAAAAAACCACCACAGAAGCAGCAAGACUAAAUUGAGCAUGGUGAUGCAUGCUGUAACCCCAGCACUCCAGAAGCUAAAGCAAGAAGAUUAAUAAUACAGCAACAGUCUGGGCUAUAUGAGACUGUCUCAAACAAAACCAAAAAUCAAACAAACAAAAAAACCAAAAACACAACAACAAAACAGAACACAACAAAAACCCAGCCAGAUUUAUUAAACUCUCAAAACCUGCUAAAGCUCUGGCUAAUAUAAAGGAUAUAUAUGCUGCUGCUAACACUCUGGCUAGUAAAGAGGGUACUGUAUUGUAUGCUGCUGCCCAGCUCAAUCACCUCUGGAAGCAGCUCCCACAUCUAGGCAGAUGUGCCCCACAAGCAGGCUGAGACAACCAAUCACAGUGACAUACUUUUAUGUGGACCAGUCUCUGGUGAUUCUCUCCGUAACAGUUUUUAAAGCAUUUCUGGGCCAAGUUCAGCUUUUUCUCUGCAUCAUCAAGGCAUUCCAGCUGUUCCAGGCGGAAGUAACACCACACAAUGUCCAGCUGGAGGACUGCAUAGUUGUCCACAGUGUCCAGCAGCUCUUUGCACUCACUACAAGAGAAGGAAGCUGUCAUGGCAGGGCCCUUCAUGGGUCCCCAGAAAGCCUUUUAGCUCUUGGUGUGUUUCUAGGAUUAACUAAUGGGGUAUUUACAAUAGGGAUCCUCUGAAUGGAUACAGAGGAAUUAGGGUUCUUGAUAGCAACAUGGUGGCAUCUGGCCCAGGACACAGUAGCUUCUAGCCCUGGCUAUGAACUACAAUCACCCAGACACAGGAGUCCUUCUCUGGGGAUACUGAUGCUGAGACCUAAUUAGGGCGACAGUAGCAAAGCUCUCCAUGACAGAAGCUGGCUGUCCCACUGCUAAAAUCUCCCCAGGAGAUUCUAACAUGCGUAAAGGUUGACACGUGGCUUUAAAGACACCCUGAAACCUGCAACUCCCUAAAAAUGCUCCAGCUGAUGGCAGUUCUGACAAGACAUUCAGUGCGCAGGGACUUUCUCACUGGGGGAACAGUCUGGAAAACACCAGGCUAAAUGCCUAGCUGACUCCUGAGGGCCCAUGAACAGGCUGAGCCAGACACAAGGAAAACAAUGAAGACACUAUUCAUGAAUUAUUUAUUUGUACUUUGUUAUGAUACUGCUCAAUGCAUAAUGCAGACCUAGCCCUCAGAUCAAAAAGUAUCUGCGACCACAGAUACCUCCAAAGCUUUGUCCAUCUACUUCCAAUGGGAUGCUGUUAAAUAGCUUUUUUUUAAACCUUGCCUACCUAGACAUGGUCAUCCCAAAGUCUAAUGAAAUAGAUUUGUUAUCACCCACGAGGCUGCACACAGUCCAAUGGGGGCAAGAACACAGAGAACAAUGUUUUUGCAUGCUUUCAUCCCUACCUCUUCUAGCAUUCCUAUUUAGUCAUGAAUAUCUGACAACAUACAUGCCAUGUGGCUACACACACACAUACAGAGAGAGAGAGACAGAGACAGACAGACAGACAGACACAGGAUGAGGGUUGGGGGUGGGGUAGGCCCAGGGAAAGAACAUCUUCAACACAGCCUGAAAACUAGACUUGAGAAGAGGCAGAGAGGCUGUAGGUAGAAAUGUGCUCUCAUAUCAAGGGAGACUCCCUCAUCUGCAACUUGUUGACGGGUUCACCUUCUGAGAUGGAAAGGCUUAACCAUUCAUAAAGUGCAAUGGGCACUCUGCCCUGCAUUAACUUCCAAGGCCUAUGAAAAGCUCUUCCAAUACCUGCUGGACAAGCAACAAGGACAGAAAUGACCCAGAACUGAACUGUGUGUGGCCAGAACACAAAAUGAAAAUUAUAUCAAAAUCCAGGUCUCAUAUUAAAGGGGUACAUUUUACUCUUACUUUCAAAACAAAAACAAAAACAAAAACCAAACAUCAGGCCGGGCAUGGUGGUACACACCUUUAAUCUCAGGACUAAGGAGACAGAGGUAGGCAGAUCUCUGAGUUUGAGACCAACCUGGUUUGCCUAGAGUUUCAGAAUAACUAUAACUACCAGCCAGGACUCUGUCUCAAAAAAAGAAAGAAGAGAAGAGAAAGGAGGAGAGGAGAAAAGAAAGAGAAAAGAAACCAACACCUGCACACUGUAGUUUUGAAGCUGAUAGGUUUAAAUUUAAACCUGAGCAUGCCAACUGGGAAGGAAAAGUUAAAACAAAAACAAAAUAUCAAAACAAACAAAAACCCAGCAUAAAACUGUUUUAAAGAACAGCCAGGGCUACACAGCAAAACCAUUUCAAAAAACCAAAAGAAAAAAAAAGUGUAUUUCUAUGUAAUAAUGACUUUGUUUGCAAUUUUAAAAGCUUUGCUAUUCAACAAAUUUUCAUGUUGAAACAGUUUUAAAAUGAAAGCACUAAAAUUACUUCGUCUUAACACUGCUUACCAGAAUUUUUCAUUUAUUUGUGUAUGUGUGUGUUUGUGUUUUGUGUAUGUGCCCAUGCAGUAGCUAUGGAGACCAGAAGAGAGUGUUUGUUGGGGGGUGUUUCUGUGCGCUAUGUAUUUAUCUGAAUGUUACUUCUGUACUUGGAGAUAGAUACGGUUGCAGCCCAGACUUUGGUACUGGCUUAUGAUGAAGCAUUCCUCACUCAGUAUUUUGUAAAACAUUGUUCUCCGUUAUCUCAUUGGUCAACAGGGUCAACCAGCCUGUGGCUGGGCAGGAGAGGGAAAAGUGGAACUUCUGUCCCCAGAGAGAGAGGAGAGGGAUUCAGGGGGAAUUCUGAGUGACCUGCCUGUCUGGUUCGCAAUGUCUAAGUAAGGCAUCGUUUCCGGAUCAACCACCAUCUCAGCUGCAACAAAGCCACAGGAGCCUCGUUAAUUAAGGACCAAACGGCACUUGAGAUGCCAGACUUCGGAGGACUCCACAGCAGGCACACUACUUAUCUGUGUGCUGCCUGAUGCAUCUAGGGAGGUGACAAACCAAAAUGGUGUACCUCUCUCCGCCAGGAUCUCCAGUCCCCGUUUGGUCCUCUGAAUGCGUCUCUCCUUCAGCUCGGCCUCGUUCUGUUCCUCUUCCUCUAGCUGUAAGUUUUUCCUCACAUCCUCUUCAGACUGUUUCAGCUCCAGUACCAUCGCCUUCACAUUGUGAGUGACUCCUUGUUCUUCAAGGCUUUUCCCUGGGAACAGCAGAAUUGCCUGUCACAUAAACUUCCUGGGCAACAGUCCAUUUCCUGUGGUAAAUGGAGUUCUUUUUUUAAUUAAAUAAUUUAUUUAUUUUGG
ensembl:antisense Gm26648 predicted gene, 26648